AAGUAAGAUUUUUUUUUUUCCUUCCCUUUUUUCCUUGUCUUGCUAUGCCUAUAGGUUGUAGGUAUGCUGCGUGAAGUAAUAUUUACCAAGAGGGUUGGAGUCCCUGUUAAAAACCUGGAUGAAAACAGAGAGGUCUUAGCAAGUGUUAUUGCAAACCGCCUUCUGAAGCAACUAUCAAACAUGAAGGCCUGUGAAUAUGGUUACUUGCUUGCAGUAACAAAAUUGAUUAGUAUAGGGGAAGGAGACAAUAAGUUCAGUUCACAACACAUCCUUUUUCCAGUAGACUUCCGCUGCCGAACCUUUAUACCUGUGGAUGGCGAAGUCAUGACUGGGAUUGUACACAAAAUAAAUGAAUGUGGUGUCUUUCUCAAGUCUGGACCCAUGAACAUGGUUUAUUUAUCAUCAAGGUUGAUGCCAAAUUACUAUUUUGUUUCGGGGGAAAAUCCAAUCUAUGUGCGGGAGGAUUCUUCCAAGAUUGAGGUUGGUGUGGUGCUCCGUUACAUGGUUUUUGCUGUUAAAUGGGUAGAGGACAGGUGGAGGGAAUUUAGAGUUCUGGCAACUAUAGAUGCUGAUGGCCUUGGCCCAGUUUCAUUGAACGGGUUAGAUGGAAUAGAUUUGUAAAGCAAUAAUCAGUUUUAUUCAGGGUCAAUUCUUUGCGGUCACUUGUGCGAAAAGGGAAAGGGUGUUAACAAAUUCUUGAUGAGCCGUUUUAGGUACGGAAGAGUAAAUUUCUUUCCUAUUUUUUGUUGUUUACUCAUGGGAUUUUCACUAUGGAAGUUGCUUUAAUGAAUAUGGCCUGGUAACAUUAACUGCUCUCAGUUUCAAACAGUCAGUGUGGACCUUCUAGCCAAGUCUUUUAAUGUGUGGAUGCAUAAGGAAGUAAAGGACACAGGAUGUCGUAUGCUCAAUAUAUUGAAAGAUUAAUCUUUAAGGAUAGGGGUCCGGCAGCUGGGUGGUAUCCUGGUGAAUGGAGAUUAAAAGUGAAGGCAAAUGUGGUCGCAUAUGCAGUGGGAGGAACCACCGACUUUUGUAGUUUAACUGCUCUAGGAAGAGAAGAUAGACUAGCAGCCUGCUACCAUCAAACAUAAACAAAUGAAUCGUUCCGAUUUAAUUAAAACAACCCAGAGGAAAUACUUGUAAACUUUGAGACAGUUUUCUUAUUGUGGAUUUAUAAUCUGCGGAAUCUGUUAGACUGUAUCAGCUCUCUUUUCCUUUAUUCUUCUUAAAUAACAAACUUUUGAAGUUUGUUAUGCCUUUAGAUGCAUCUCUGUUUUCAGCUAUAAACACAUAUGUAACAUUUUUCUUUAUUACAAGGAAUAUUAGAACACUACUCUCAUAAAAGUUUAUGUCUAAUGUGUCUCUUAAUCUUUGAAUUUCAGUCGAUCUCUUUUUUUUCCUCUCUGCUACAUAAUUUUCCUUCCUGUUUGUCUAGUAUGUACCUUUCUAUCUGGAGCUGGAUUUCUCACAUGUAUUAUCUGGGGUUCUUCUUUCUGGUUUGAAGUAUUAUGAUCUGAUAAAUUCUUCAUUGCAUUUAGGAAACAUUAGAAAGUAAUUGCGCAUCAUGCUUCCAGUUAUCAAGUUUUCAGUCUAUGCAUGAUUGAAUUUCUUAUGCCUAACUUAGAAUGUCUUAAUGGAGACAUGUAAAAUAAGUUCUCAAACUCAUCGAUCACGUCACCCUCAAAAGGUACGUUUGGGUGAUAGCUUUUCAUUUCUUCUUGUUUUUCCAUCCGAUGUACAUCACUGAUAUGCUUCCUGAAGUGAGCCCAACGUGGCUUUUCAACCUUUACUUGCAGUAUAUGAUUGUCGUCUUAUCUAAUCUUGACCUUUUACUUAAACAGGGGGCCACCGGAGAAUAGCUGCAAGCCUUUAGUUACUGCAUAGUCCUUCAAAUCUAUCUCACCAUUGCGAGUCUAACUAUUUGUUUCUCAUC